rnacentral:rRNA from 1 species
GGAUUGCCCUAGUAACGGCGAGUGAAGCGGCAACAGCUCAAAUUUGAAAUCUGGCUUCCUUUGGGAGUCCGAGUUGUAAUUUGCAGAGGGCGCUUUGGCGUCGGCAGCGGUCUAAGUUCCUUGGAACAGGACGUCACAGAGGGUGAGAAUCCCGUACGUGGUCGCCUGCCUUCGCCGUGUAAAGCCCCUUCGACGAGUCGAGUUGUUUGGGAAUGCAGCUCUAAAUGGGAGGUAAAUUUCUUCUAAAGCUAAAUACUGGCCAGAGACCGAUAGCGCACAAGUAGAGUGAUCGAAAGAUGAAAAGCACUUUGGAAAGAGAGUCAAACAGCACGUGAAAUUGUUGAAAGGGAAGCGCUUGCCGCCAGACUUGCCCGUGGUGGUUCUCCUCCUCGGGCAGGCCAGCAUCAGUUUGGGCGAUCGGAUAAUGGCCUCUGUCAUGUAUCUUCCUUCGGGAUGACCUUAUAGGGGAGUCGUAGUACGGUCAGCCCGGACUGAGGUCCGCGCAUUUGCUAGGAUGCUGGCGUAAUGGCUGCAAGCGGCCCGUCUUGAAACACGGACCAAGGAGUCUAACAUCUAUGCGAGUGUUUGGGUGUCAAGCCCGAGCGCGCAAUGAAAGUGAACGGAGGUGGGAACCCUCUCUGGGGGUGCACCAUCGACCGAUCCUGAAGUCUUCGGAUGGAUUUGAGUAAGAGCAUGGCUGUUGGGACCCGAAAGAUGGUGAACUAUGCUUGAAUAGGGUGAAGCCAGAGGAAACUCUGGUGGAGGCUCGCAGCGGUUCUGACGUGCAAAUCGAUCGUCAAAUUUGGGCAUAGGGGCGAAAGACUAAUCG